rnacentral:rRNA from 1 species
UACGCAGGCGGCUUGGUAAGUCGGGUGUGAAAUCCCGGGGCUCAACCCCGGAACUGCAUUCGAAACUACUUCGCUUGAAUACGGGAGAGGGAAGCGGAAUUCCUGGUGUAGAGGUGAAAUUCGUAGAUAUCAGGAGGAACACCAGUGGCGAAAGCGGCUUCCUGGCCCGAUAUUGACGCUCAUGUACGAAAGCGUGGGGAGCAAACA